ensembl:misc_RNA Metazoa_SRP Metazoan signal recognition particle RNA
GCCAGGCAUGAUGAAGUGCAUCUGAGGUCCCAGUUACUCAGGAGGCUGAGGAGGGAGGAUCACUGGAGCCCAGGAGUUCUGGGCUCUAGUGAACUAUGACAAUUGUGUGUCCUAGGUUUGGCAUCAAUAUGGUGACUUCCUACAAGUGGGGAACCACCAGGUUGCCUAAGGAGGAGUAAACCAGCCCAGGUCGGAAAAAGAACAGGUCAAAACUCCCAUGCUGAGCAGUACUGGGAUCGCAUUUGGGAGCAGCCACUGCAUUCCAGCCUGAGAAAUACAGUGAGACUCCAUCUCU